CUCAUCCCCCGCCCCCACCACGGCCCCACGCCCCAACCCCCUCGGACAUGACCCUAUCCACCCAUUACCGCCCACAGCCACAACUACACGAAAGUAUAAGAGAAUAUAAAGAUAAUAUAAAGAUAUAAAGAUAUAAACGAUGGUAAUAGCAAAGCAGCAGCAAGUAAUACAAGGCUCACACAAAUCCACAACAAACAACAGACAAUAGACAAUAUCCACAAAUCCCACGCAAGUCAAGGUACAGGGCUACUACUAGCAUAAUACGAAGAAUGAAAGAAUGCAGAAUGAAGAAUAACAAAGGUUAGAAGUCACCGGAUUUUGCUUGUAGACCAAGCCGGCAACCAAGCCUAGCGUCGAACUGCUGCACAACAGACAAUAGACAAUAUCCACAAAUCCCACGCAAGUCAAGGUACAGGGCUACUACUAGCAUAAUACGAAGAAUGAAAGAAUGCAGAAUG
rnacentral:lncRNA from 1 species